UGUGAGCUCGAUGAGUAGGGCGGGACACGUGGUAUCCUGUCUGAAUAUGGGGGGACCAUCCUCCAAGGCUAAAUACUCCUGACUGACCGAUAGUGAACCAGUACCGUGAGGGAAAGGCGAAAAGAACCCCGGCGAGGGGAGUGAAAAAGAACCUGAAACCGUGUACGUACAAGCAGUGGGAGCACGCUUAGGCGUGUGACUGCGUACCUUUUGUAUAAUGGGUCAGCGACUUAUAUUCUGUAGCAAGGUUAACCGAAUAGGGGAGCCGAAGGGAAACCGAGUCUUAACUGGGCGUUAAGUUGCAGGGUAUAGACCCGAAACCCGGUGAUCUAGCCAUGGGCAGGUUGAAGGUUGGGUAACACUAACUGGAGGACCGAACCGACUAAUGUUGAAAAAUUAGCGGAUGACUUGUGGCUGGGGGUGAAAGGCCAAUCAAACCGGGAGAUAGCUGGUUCUCCCCGAAAGCUAUUUAGGUAGCGCCUCGUGAAUUCAUCUCCGGGGGUAGAGCACUGUUUCGGCAAGGGGGUCAUCCCGACUUACCAACCCGAUGCAAACUGCGAAUACCGGAGAAUGUUAUCACGGGAGACACACGGCGGGUGCUAACGUCCGUCGUGAAGAGGGAAACAACCCAGACCGCCAGCUAAGGUCCCAAAGUCAUGGUUAAGUGGGAAACGAUGUGGGAAGGCCCAGACAGCCAGGAUGUUGGCUUAGAAGCAGCCAUCAUUUAAAGAAAGCGUAAUAGCUCACUGGUCGAGUCGGCCUGCGCGGAAGAUGUAACGGGGCUAAACCAUGCACCGAAGCUGCGGCAGCGACACUAUGUGUUGUUGGGUAGGGGAGCGUUCUGUAAGCCUGUGAAGGUGUGCUGUGAGGCAUGCUGGAGGUAUCAGAAGUGCGAAUGCUGACAUAAGUAACGAUAAAGCGGGUGAAAAGCCCGCUCGCCGGAAGACCAAGGGUUCCUGUCCAACGUUAAUCGGGGCAGGGUGAGUCGACCCCUAAGGCGAGGCCGAAAGGCGUAGUCGAUGGGAAACAGGUUAAUAUUCCUGUACUUGGUGUUACUGCGAAGGGGGGACGGAGAAGGCUAUGUUGGCCGGGCGACGGUUGUCCCGGUUUAAGCGUGUAGGCUGGUUUUCCAGGCAAAUCCGGAAAAUCAAGGCUGAGGCGUGAUGACGAGGCACUACGGUGCUGAAGCAACAAAUGCCCUGCUUCCAGGAAAAGCCUCUAAGCAUCAGGUAACAUCAAAUCGUACCCCAAACCGACACAGGUGGUCAGGUAGAGAAUACCAAGGCGCUUGAGAGAACUCGGGUGAAGGAACUAGGCAAAAUGGUGCCGUAACUUCGGGAGAAGGCACGCUGAUAUGUAGGUGAAGUCCCUCGCGGAUGGAGCUGAAAUCAGUCGAAGAUACCAGCUGGCUGCAACUGUUUAUUAAAAACACAGCACUGUGCAAACACGAAAGUGGACGUAUACGGUGUGACGCCUGCCCGGUGCCGGAAGGUUAAUUGAUGGGGUUAGCCGCAAGGCGAAGCUCUUGAUCGAAGCCCCGGUAAACGGCGGCCGUAACUAUAACGGUCCUAAGGUAGCGAAAUUCCUUGUCGGGUAAGUUCCGACCUGCACGAAUGGCGUAAUGAUGGCCAGGCUGUCUCCACCCGAGACUCAGUGAAAUUGAACUCGCUGUGAAGAUGCAGUGUACCCGCGGCAAGACGGAAAGACCCCGUGAACCUUUACUAUAGCUUGACACUGAACAUUGAGCCUUGAUGUGUAGGAUAGGUGGGAGGCUU
rnacentral:rRNA from 1 species